UAUCUUCUCUUAAAGGGGCAGUAGGUAAGAUUUAUAAAAGGAACUUUCUGUCUUAUUUGCUUAAACUGACCCAAUGUCCCAGUAGAACUACCUGAAGUAUGUAAUUAA